rnacentral:rRNA from 1 species
AGCGAACGCUGGCGGCGUGCCUAACACAUGCAAGUCGAACGUGAAAGGGAGCAAUCCUGAGUAAAGUGGCGUACGGGUGAGUAACGCGUAGGUAAUCUACCCCAAAGUCUGGAAUAACCUGCCGAAAGGCGGGCUAAUACUGGAUAGAGCGAUGGAAUCCGUAAUUGGGUUUUUCGGGAAAGGGAGCUCGCAAGAGCCUUCGUUUUGGGAUGAGCCUGCGUCUCAUUAGCUAGUUGGUGGGGUAAUGGCCCACCAAGGCUUUGAUGGGUAGCUGGUCUGAGAGGAUGAUCAGCCACACUGGAACUGAAACACGGUCCAGACUCUUACGGGAGGCAGCAGUGGGGAAUCUUGCGCAAUGGACGAAAGUCUGACGCAGCCACGCCGCGUGAGUGAAGAAGGCCUUCGGGUUGUAAAGCUCUGUCGCCCGGGACGAAAAUUUAUUAGGUGAAUAGCCUAGUGAACUGACGGUACCGGGAGAGGAAGCACCGGCUAACUCCGUGCCAGCCGCCGCCGUAAUAC